UUUUUUUUUUUUUUUCUCUUGAUGCCAUCUCUUGAAGGCUAGUCCUUCACCAAGUCCAAGUAUUUCUAUAGCACCCCUCCAUGUCAAAUGGCAGACACUGCCUGAUUAUAAUUGGCUGUCCUCUGCUAUUACACAGACACACUAUUAAAAAGGCAAUUGCUUAUCAGAACCCCUGUUCUGAAGGGAGUGCCCAAUAAGAACCUUCCUGGCAUUUUUGAGGGGAAGCAAUCAUUUGUGCUACCAGAUCAGAAUAAACAUAUCAGAUGUAAUUUCUUUUGAAGACAUAAUCAAGCCCAAUACUACGAAAUGACUUCUCUGAACAAAAGCAACAGAAUGAUGAGCAAACUUACAGUUUUAACAUCAUUUAAUGCCGGUGAGGUAUUCUUAAAAAGACCGUGACCACGGGAGACGAUAUAUAGCUGCGGAGCUAUUCGGUGAAGGGGACAGAACAAACAAGGUUUAAGUACUGUUACCAGCUCCUGUUGGUGACUGGUUGCAUUGUCUUGAACAACUUGCUGAGACUCAGUUUCUUCAACUUUGAACUGCAAAUAGUGGUAAUGCCAUAAGUUGCUAUGAGACUUCUGAGAGAAUACAAGUACCUAGCACAGGGCCUGUAAUAAAACAGAACCAACUCCCCCACCAGAAUUCAACCUCCAUGAUGGAAAAAACUCUUGUCUGUUUGUUCUCCAGAAUGAAAUAAUUUAUUGCUCAAUAAAUAGUAGGUCGUGAUGAUCAUUGUACAACGAUAAAUGUAAUAAGAUUCAUUGAGUAAUUUAAAAAAAAGAAAUGCAUUUCCAAUAAAGGUUGAAUUUUUACAUUAAAAAAAAUAAUAAUCUGGGGAGAACAGAGAUUGCAAAAGCAUUGCCCUUUAAAGAGCUUAUUUGAUCCACGGUUAGGAUAUACAUACUUUCAUUAGAAUCAGUAAAAUAAUGCUCCAAAAUUUUAUGCUAAGUCCACCAGGAUAACUAAAAAAAAUGGACAGCCGUUCCUUGUCCCCUUCCUUAAUAUAUUUCCUAUUCACAUGAAAACUAGUUGAAUAUAAGAAAAGAACAAAAGUUGAAACUAGGUGGUAAGACAUCACAGACCCAGUGAAGUGCAGGUGUUAAGAAACAUUUUUCUUCCCAUUUAACUGACAUCAUCAGGAGCAUACUUACCUAUAAUUUUGAAUUUUCUUCUUUUAUUUAAACAUUUACAUUGUAACAUGACCUUUUCUCACGUUAUUAAGUUUCUUCUGAAAAUUUUUUAGUGGUUGCGUGAUCAUUAUAUUGUAUGAAUAUGUCAUCAUUUUCUUUAGUCAUUCCCCUACUCUGAGGCAUUUUGUUGUUUCCAUUGGGGGCUACUGUAAAUAAGAGUGUAAGGAACAUCUUUGUAUGUAUAUUUUGAAUAGUUACUACUGAUGUAUAACUAACAUAAUAAAAUGACAAAGUGUAAAAAUAUAGUUAAAGAGCAGUAAAAGAAUAAAUGUACUGAUUGCUUCUUUCCCUUUUUUGGGGGGUGGUGGGCAAGGAGAAAAAAAUAGCUUUAUUGCUUUGCCAAGCAAAGGAGGCCACAGCAGGCUGAUGCCCUAAAGACUGCCUUCUGAUUGCUUUCUUUCCUUCGAGCAAUGCUGAGCCAUGUUAACUUCUUUUUUCCAGUGAUGUACUAAGAAAUGUUUUUAUUUGGACUAGGUAAACCCCCCAAACCACCUAACAUCUUUGUUCUUUCCAAAAUUUAGUACUAAAAACAAAAGAAGACUUUGUGAUGAUAAAUGCCUCAAACUCCUCAUUUUAGUUUACUAAGUCACUUACAAGGAAUCCCUCUUUCCUGUAUUGACCACAGAGUCUACUUUUUUGUCAUCUUCUUCUUAAUACUAAUUCUUUUAGGUCAGGAAGAUUCACCAGCAUUAUAAUAGAAGGAGCAACAGAUCUCCAGUGAGAAGUAGGAUUUGCCUUAGCUGAUGGCUGUGUGGUCCUGCCUCAACAUUUCUGAGUCUGAAGGUUCUCAUUAGAUUUCAAUAAAGCACUUAUUGUAUAAAUCACAUGAACUAUAAAGCACCAUACAAAUUUUAGAUAUUAAUUCUAUUAUUCCAUUAUUGAAGUAACUGCCCACUGUCACUUAAGAUAAUCAGAAUUUCAGGUCCUCAAGUCUGUCAGAAACCAAAAAUGACAGCAAAGUUUAAGAAUUUGGGACUUGAGAGAAAACCAAGCAGAUUUCUGUAAUCUACUUUAAAAUAAGAGAGUGUUAAUCUAAUUAGUACAUCCUUGUCAACUUUUCUUUUUUUCUUUUUAGGGCCGUACCAGCAGCAUAUGGAAGUUCCCAGGCUAGGGGUUGGAUCAGAGCUGCAGCUGCAGGUCUACACCACAGCCAUGGCAGUGCUGAAUCUAAGGCGCAUCUGCGACCCACCCCACGGCUUACAGCAAUGCUGGAUGCUUAACCCACUGAGAGAGGCCAGUGGAUUUUCCUCUGGCAUUUUCUUAAGUAAUCGCUGGUAUCAAGCUGAGUUCUAUAAUUUUACCAGUAAAAGCUUCAACACAAACCCUUCAAAGCACUUGACAAUUCAAAAAUGAUUCUCGGAGUUCCCGUCGUGGCGCAGUGGUUAAGCAUUCAGCAUUGCAGCAGCUACGGAGCAGGUCACAACUCUAGUGUGAGUUCGAUCCCUGGCCUAAGAACAUCCACACGCCUCAGAGGCGCUGGGCUGGGGGGAGGGAGAAGUAACUUGAGAUCAACGAAGCAGGAAGAGAGAGGGUAGAAGUUAUAAAGAGCUGGUGUGGUGACACAAUGUGGAAAUUUUAAAGGGGAAAAAGAAAAAGAAUGAGACCAGGUGUGGGACUAAAUUUACGAGCUCAAAAAAAAAAAAAAAAAAAAA
ensembl:lncRNA